CCCUUAGAUGUUCUGGGCCGCACGCGCGCUACACUGAACAGUUCAACAAGUCUUAACCUUGGCCGAUAGGUCUGGGUAAUCUUUGAACGCUGUUCGUGAUUGGGAUAGACCUUUGCAAUUAUGGGUCUUCAACGAGGAAUUCCUAGUAAACGCAAGUCAUCAGCUUGCAUUGAUUACGUCCCUGCCCUUUGUACACACCGCCCGCCGCACCUACCGAUUGAAUGGUCCGGUGAAAUCUCGGGACGGCGGCUUGGUCGCUUGCGUCCGACUGCUGAAACUUGAUUAAACCAUAUCAUUUAGAGGAAGGUGAANUCGUAACA
rnacentral:rRNA from 1 species